rnacentral:lncRNA from 1 species
AUCCUGGACUUGGAUUUCCUCCAGUGCUACACAACAGGGGGGUCUCUCUCAGCUGCCGGUGGGGGCGGCUUAUGGUGCUCAUCUGCCCAUGCUGAUGCCUCUGCCAUACUCCUCCACCCAGGCCCACCACUGUGGCUGGGUGCAGCCUGUGAUCCACCCCAAACUGAUCUCAUCACAGCAUUACAGUUCAUGCCAAGCUACGCUAUAGGGUGUUGAGCUCAUUGCAGUAUUUUUCCUUCUGAAAGGAAACAAAAACAAACUCUCACCAGUUUAUUAUUUCAGCUAAUUAUAUGAACCAACAGUAUUUCAUCUAAACCAUUUUAGGAAAAUAAUUGGAGAACGUUCGCAAAACCCAAGCAACCAUUUUUCUCCUGCCAGGGUGGCAGAUGCAAACAUAAAGAGUAACAUGUCCAUACAUCUCCAAUCUCAACUUCUUAUGAAACAAAAUAAAAGCAAUCUGGUUGUGAACUGAUCCAAAGCAAAUACAAUAUUUCAGAACACUCCACAUUUAGUUGGUAGGGUUGAUUUAUAUAAUGCAAUCUAAGGACCAGUGUGCAAAUAUGAGGGGAAGACUAUUUCCCCUUCACACUUUCUUACCUCACAGACAUUGUUUUUGUUCUGCAUGCAAGUGAGGAGCCCUUGGCCUGCACAGCAGAAUCCUUUGAAGGAUGAACACUUGACAGGUUUCUAUGGUACUCCCAAAAAGGGUUGUUUUACGAGCCAGAGGUUCUCUUUGUCAUAUAUAAUACUCUGACAUUUAUUGUGGGAUCCAUGAGAUAAUCACACAGCAGUCUUCGAAAUGAGUGUUGCUGAAAGCAUUCCCUGCCUGACUUCAAUUAGCAGGCACUAUCUCUAGCCCCAGUCUACAGAUGGAGAGAGAAGGAAUGAAAGGGCAGCAUCUUCCUCAGCGCAGCUCUAUGUGCAGGCUGAGCCACAGUGCUGGCAGCCUGUGGGCCACCACUGAGCCCAGGCCACUGAGACCCCAUGCAGCAGCCUUGCCUUCAUCACUCACUCUCUUAUGUGCAAAGAGCUCAUUUGUAUCUGAGGUUUCUGCCUCCCCUGUUUUGAGGAGGUGUUGCUCCAGCCAUCGUUGCUGUCCCAUUACUAGAUUUCAAGGUUGGUUUCCAAGAUUUAGCGGCUUUUCAGCAGGCAGAACUCCUUGGGUUCAUGGCACUACAGUCCUACUUAAAGAUAAUUGCCAAGGUAAAUCAGAAACAAGGGGAACCUAA